AAAUUUGAGGGAUUUAAAAUAACACCUAAAUUACUAAAAUUGUAAAAUUCUCUGUCAUUUUCAAAUCAGCUUUUCACUCUCUUCUCUCGCGACUCACUCUUCUUCUCUCACGAAGCUUCACCGUCCCUCUCUCCUCGCCGCGGCGGUGCUUCCCUCUCCUUGCCGCCGUUUGCUUCUCUCUCCUUGUCGUCACAGUUCUCCCUGUUCGCCGUUUGCUUUUCUCUCGCGCGCUUCACCUUCACCUUCAUCGUGCCUCUCUCCUUCUGCGGUGGUGCUUCUCCCUCCUCGCCGUUGCCGACGCCGCCGUUUUCUGUCUCUCCUCUCCGUGACAGUUUUUUCUCUCCUCGCCGAAGUUUUCAUCACACGCGACUCUCACUAGCUCAGAUUUUAAGCAGAAAUGGACACUAUUACAAUCAAUGAUUCAAUAGCUUCAAGAAAACGUAAAAGAGAUGAAGAAGAGAUGAGAGAGCUUGAGGAAACAACGUUCAUUGUUGUUAGUGUUGCUACUAUGCUUUUAGGUGCAAUGAUUUGGUAUUAUAAUACAUAUUUUGUUAAGGAACCAGCUCGAAAUUUAGAAUUGGAAAGGCGCAAUUUUCUAAAUCGUUUAUAUAGAGGAACAGAAGCUGAUUGUAUCGAACAGUUGAGAGUUAGCAAGAGGACAUUUUUUAAGCUUUGUAAGAUUUUAAAAGAGAAAGGGCAAUUGGUAAGGACAAGAAACGUUCCGACAACUGAAGCUGUCGCAAUGUUUUUGCACAUUCUUGCUCACAACCUAAAAUAUAGAGUAGUUCACUUCAGUUACUGUAGAUCAAAAGAAACAAUAAGUAGGCAAUUCAAUAAUGUCCUCCGAGCUAUUAUGAAAGUGAGCCGAGAAUAUUUGAAGUUUCAUGACUAUCAUCUAGAGGGUCCAGAGGCAAAUAAAUGGAAAUGGUUUGAGAAUGCAAUUGGAGCACUUGAUGGGACACAUAUUCCAGUGACGGUUGCUGCAGAAGAUAGGCCUAGAUAUCGUAAUAGAAUUGGUGACAUAUCAACGAAUGUCUUAGGAGUUUGUGGUCCAGAUUUAAGGUUCAUUUAUGCUUUACCAGGGUGGGAAGGAUCUGCUGGAGAUUCUCGAGUAUUGAAAGAUGCUUUACAACGCCAAAAUUGUCUUCGAAUUCCAAAUGGAAAAUAUUUUCUUGUGGAUGCGGGAUAUACAAAUGGCCCUGGUUUUUUAGCACCGUAUAGAGGGACUAGAUAUCACCUCAAAGAGUGGAAUGGAAACACCCCUCAAAAUUACAAGGAGUUGUUUAAUCUCCGUCAUUCACGUGCAAGGAAUGUAAUUGAAAGGUCAUUUGGGGUAUUGAAGAAAAGAUGGAGUAUACUAAGAACUCCUUCUUUUUUUGAUAUCAAAACACAAAUUAGAAUCAUUAAUGCAUGUUUCGUGUUGCACAAUUUUAUAAUAGAAGAAAAACAAACUGAUGAAAUUUUAGAGGAUCAUGACUUGGAGCUUUUAUCUGUUGUUGAUGAAGAGUUAACCAACCAACAAACGCUAAAAGUAGCAACUAAUGAUGUAGAUGAAGUCGCAAGCGUUCAAGUGACUGAAGAAUGGACAACAUUUCGUGACGCAUAUGCGAAGAAUAUGUUUGUUGAAUAUAAAGAUAAAAUGAAUAUUUCUUAGGUUUAGUGGAUUAUAGGUUCAGUGAUUUGUUUCUGCUGCUGUUGGUUUGUGCUCUGCUGUCUUUUUGGUCUUGAGAUCUUCCUAGGAUUUUGGCUUCUGAUGCUACUGUUUUUCAGAUAUUGAUGAAGAACAAAGCUAUAAAGCAAUCAAUUGGUUGAUUGAAAAUCCGAGCAAAAUACCGGUUCUCAAAGCACUUUCGUCGAGUAAGAAGAAGAGGUAUCUCUUGUCUUCUAUGUCUUGAGACCAAGCUGCUGUGAGUGUUGUGCUGGUGCAGUUUGAUCUAUUUGCAGCAGUUGAUGAUUGAAGGAUGACGACUAUAGGCAGACUGGUGACAAUGGAGGGAUGACAUCUACAAUUGAACUUAAUUACUGUACAUGUGUAUACCACAUUUGUUGUGGGGAUUAUUACAUUUAGUAGUUAAUUCUAAUCUAUACUUGUCUAUUGAAAUUGUCUACGAUGAGUAGUUAAUUCUUUUUAAAUGUCAUUUUCGCAGUGGCGGAGAAUAUUAGACACAUGGAUUAUAUGUGUACUUACAACUCUUAUAAUACAAAUAUUAGUUUUAUUAAAAAGGUUUUUUGUUUCAA